rnacentral:rRNA from 1 species
AUUGAACGCUGGCGGCAGGCCUAACACAUGCAAGUCGAGCGGAUGAAGGGAGCUUGCUCCUGGAUUCAGCGGCGGACGGGUGAGUAAUGCCUAGGAAUCUGCCUGGUAGUGGGGGAUAACGUCCGGAAACGGGCGCUAAUACCGCAUACGUCCUGAGGGUGAAAGUGGGGGAUCUUCGGACCUUACGCUAUCAGAUGAGCCUAGGUCGGAUUAGCUAGUUGGUGGGGUAAAGGCCUACUAAGGCGACGAUCCGUAACUGGUCUGAGAGGAUGAUCAGUCGCACUGGAAGUGGAACACGGUCCAGACUCCUACGGGAGGCAGCAGUGGGGAAUAUUGGGCAGUGGGCGAAAGCCUGAUCCAGCCAGGCCGCGUGUGUGAAGAAGAUCUUCGGAUUGUAAAGCACUUUAAGUUGGGAGGAAGGGCAGUAAGUUAAUACCUUGCUGUUUUGACGUUACCAACAGAAUAAGCACCGGCUAACUACGUG